ACUUGGGGAUCGAGCAACUGGAGAUGAGUUCAGCUCUGUAAUGACAGCGUGACCUUAGGUGAGUCACUUGCCCUCUCUGAGCUGUCCUUUGCGCCUGGCCCUGCUUUCUGCCUGUAGUCACCAGAAUCAGGCAGACAGACAACUUUUACAGAAAGGAGAAAGAUUCCGGUGUCGUUGUGUGCUGAGAGCCUCCUUUUCUCACGCAGUCUGAGCUCAGCCGGAAGUGCUCAUCGUCUCCUCUGGUUCCUUCUCUCUGCAUUAAAUUCCCCUCACAAUGUACUGUGAACCCCAAGUGUGAGAAUCAUUUUAUCUUUCUUUGGCAGGGCAGUUGUGCACCCCUGGACUCCUAUUCUAUAGGAGACAGACAGUGCUGGGUGGUGAAGCUGGGACUCAGCAAGGGCAUGGUGACCAUGGAGUCCGUGAAGCCCCUCCCACCUGCUCCUUCUCAGAACGUCAGGCUCUGGGCAGCUCCUGCCUUCAGGGUCCUGCUUCGGUUCCUGCCCUGACUUCCCUCAAUGCAGAGUGUGACCUGGGAGCUGUAAGAUGAGAUAAACUCUUUCCUUCCCAAGUUGCUUGCAAGAGAAAGAAACUAGGAGAUGCUCUUAUCCUUCUCUGGGGACAUCACUCUGGGCCACGGCCAGGGUGUCCAGCUGUGAAGAGCCUAAGGACCACAGGAGAAACUUCUUAGACAGGUGACCAUCACCCCAAGACCUGCCAGCCCAGGAAAUAUUCCCAGCAUUGACUAUGAUAGAAUCAAACUAUCAAUCAAUUCUGAACGUGUCCUGCAGCGUCAAAUAUUCAGCCAAGAUGUAAUUAUUUACACAAGGAAUGUGCACACCCAUAUUGCUGUUAUGAGAAUCCGCCUUUGUCUUCGGUAAAUGUUUCUCUGUGUGGCCCUGGCUGUCCUGGAGACCAGGAUGAUUCUCCUGAUUAGGUUACCUGGCUUGAGAUGAUCCACCCUGAAUGUGAGCAGCAUUUUCUGGUGCAUAUCCAGAUACUAGGAAAUAUAAGAGGAAAAACUCUUGCUUCCUGCCUGCUUCCUGUCUUGAGAAUAAUAUGGAAUAUUGGCAAUGCCUAGCAAUUACCCCCCAUUCAGAGACAGUGAAUCACAAUUAGCUAUUGCAGCCGCCUCCGCACAGAAAGGGUUCACCUGCUACCAGAUAUCUGAAGGCAGAGAUUCCAAGCUUGUGUUGUCCUGGGCAUCCCAUGGCUGAAGACCCCAGACCUUUCCAUGAUGAAGAGGACUCAGUCUCUUCAAGACUCAGUCUCAGUCAAGAGAAACAACAUCUAAUAUUAAAAACAUGAACCUUAGUUGUGGUGGUUUGAGUAAGAAUGGCUUCAUAGACUAAUGUAUUUGAAUUCUUGGUCAUCAGGGAGUGACAUUAGGAGGCGUGGCUUUGAUAGAGUAGGUGUGGACCUAUUGGAGGAAGUGUACCACUGUAGGUGGGCACAGGGGUUUAAAAUGUUCAAGUUAGGCCCUAAGCUCUCUCCCUGCCGCUUGUGGAUCCAGAUGUAGAACUUGCAGCUCCCUCUAUAGCACUAUGUCUGUCUGCAUACUGACAUAUUUUCCACUCUGCUGAUGACGGACUGAACCGCUGAUCUGUAAGCCAGCUCCAAUGAAAUGUUGUCCUUUAUACA
rnacentral:lncRNA from 1 species